CGGAGCCCGCCGCGUGCACGAAGAAGGCCUUCUGGUUUGUAAACUGUUUUUGCCGGGAAGUAAAAUUCCCAUGCUUGCUGCCUUGACCUUGCCCGGUGAAUAACCCAAAGCUAACUAUAUGCCAGUGCCCGCGGUAAUACGUAUGUGGCAGUGGUUGUCCGGAUUUAUAGUUAUUGAGCGUUGCGCGCGCGCCCUAUUACCUCUAUUCUUGAUGUUCCCGGCUUAACCUCGAGGGUGGAAUUGAUACUGAUGGGCUUGGACUUGAUCGAGGUAGGCGGAAUUGACGGUGUAGCGGUGAAAUGCUUUGAUAUCGUCUGUAACACCGAUACUGUGGACAGCUUACUAGACUUCAACUGACGCUGAGGCACGAAAGUGUGGGGAUCAAACAGGAUUAGAUACCCUGGUCUGCCACACUGUAAACGUUGAUUACUCGCUGUGUGCGAUAUACAGUACCCGGCUUAACGAAAGCGAUAAGUAAUCCACCUGGGGAGUACGCCGACUACGGUGAAACUCAUGAGAAUUGACGGAAUUGACGGA
rnacentral:rRNA from 1 species